GGCCAGACUCCUACGGGAGGCAGCAGUGGGGAAUAUUGGGCAAUGGGCGCAAGCCUGACCCAGCAACGCCGCGUGAAGGAAGAAGGCUUUCGGGUUGUAAACUUCUUUUCUCAGGGACGAAGCAAGUGACGGUACCUGAGGAAUAAGCCACGGCUAACUACGUGCCAGCAGCCGCGGUAAUACGUAGGUGGCAAGCGUUAUCCGGAUUUACUGGGUGUAAAGGGCGUGUAGGCGGGGACGCAAGUCAGAUGUGAAAACCAUGGGCUCAACCUGUGGCCUGCAUUUGAAACUGUCAGGCUGGAGUGCAGGAGAGGUAAGUGGAAUUCCUAGUGUAGCGGUGAAAUGCGUAGAUAUUAGGAGGAACACCAGUGGCGAAGGCGGCCUGCUGGACGACAACUGACGGUGAGGCGCGAAAGCGUGGGGAGCAAACAGGAUUAGAUACCCCCGUAC
rnacentral:rRNA from 1 species